GGUCUCCACCAAAGCUGUGCCGCGAGGCCAUGCGGGAGUGAGAGAGGCUUCACCUUCGGGUGAUGCCAUUCCUUCCACAUCUGGUGCCGGGCAUCGGUCUGCCAGGGUCGUGCGCAUUGCGGCGCCGCCCGGGACCGAAGGCACGGGGGCGA
rnacentral:ncRNA from 1 species